CGCUGGCUCCGUGGAUUAGGCAUGCAAGUCGAGCGAUAUUUUAGGCGGAGAGAUUGAAGCCGCAAGGCCGGAUGUCAAUUUGCUUGAUUUAUAGCGGCAGACGGGUGCGUAACACGUGAGUAAUCUACCUCUAAAUCGGGAAUAGCCUCGCGAAAGUAAGGAUAAUACCCGAUGUGUCCCGUUAGUCAUAAGACAGACGGGGUAAAGAUAGCUCGCAAGAGCCGAUGUUUAGAGAUGAGCUCGCGUACUAUCAGCUAGUUGGUAGGGUAAUGGCCUACAGAGGCUUUUGACGGUUAGCUGGCCUGAGAGGGUGGUCAGCCACACGGGGACUGAGACACUGCCCCGACUCCUACGGGAGGCAGCAGUGGG
rnacentral:sRNA from 1 species